UAUAUUGUAUUUUUAGUUAAAAAUAUAUAUAAUGUAACUGCCGCAAGGCUAUGGCAAUAAACGCUAUUCGGAAUAGACGUUAUGGACCCGGGGGCGGUACCCGGCAUCUCCACCAAAUAAUUUUAUGGGGAUGAAUUAGCUUCGACAUGCGUAAUAAAGGUGUGGUUUUUGCUCGGUGUGAUUAGCCGUGAUAAAUCAAAAAAGUAAGUGCAAACGAUAAUAAUGCACCUGUAGCUAACUCAGCACUCGCUGCUUAGUUUUCUACGCGGUUAGGGGGCCCCGGGCAACAGAAUGCCCCCAAA
rnacentral:tmRNA from 2 species